rnacentral:rRNA from 1 species
UACAGAGGGUGCAAGCGUUGUUCGGAAUUAUUGGGCGUAAAGGGCGUGUAGGCGGUUUGCUAAGUCAUGUGUGAAAUCCCUCGGCUUAACCGAGGAACGACGCAUGAAACUGGCAAGCUAGAGUACCAAAGAGGGGGGUGGAAUUCCACGUGUAGCAGUGAAAUGCGUAGAGAUGUGGAGGAACACCGAUGGCGAAGGCAGCCCCCUGGGCUAACACUGACGCUCAUGCACGAAAGCGUGGGGAGCAAACAGG